UACGGGGGGGGCAAGCGUUGUUCGGAAUUACUGGGCGUAAAGGGCUCGUAGGCGGCCAACUAAGUCAUACGUGAAAUCCCUCGGCUUAACCGGGGAACUGCGUCUGAUACUGGAAGGCUUGAAUCCGGGAGAGGGAUGCGGAAUUCCAGGUGUAGCGGUGAAAUGCGUAGAUAUCUGGAGGAACACCGGUGGCGAAGGCGGCAUCCUGGACCGGCAUUGACGCUGAGGCGCGAAAGCCAGGGGAGCAAACGGG
rnacentral:rRNA from 1 species